UACGUAGGGUGCAAGCGUUGUCCGGAAUUAUUGGGCGUAAAGAGCUCGUAGGCGGUUUGUCGCGUCUGCUGUGAAAACUCAGGGCUUAACCCUGAGCCUGCAGUGGGUACGGGCAGACUAGAGUGUGGUAGGGGGAGAUCGGAAUUCCUGGUGUAGCGGUGGAAUGCGCAGAUAUCAGGAGGAACACCGGUGGCGAAGGCGGAUCUCUGGGCCAUAACUGACGCUGGAGGAGCGAAAGCAUGGGGAGCGAACA
rnacentral:rRNA from 1 species